AAUGACGCUUGCAGCGGUCACACACAGAUAAUUGUGUCUGUUCCUUACUGCUCCACAGAGCUGCAGGACUUCAGAUUGAAAAAUGUACCACAGUGAACAAAAAUGAGACAGGAGCAGCAAACAGCGGAAACAAUUUGGAGUGCAGAGUCAACAGAAGAAGCUCUGAUAGUUCCACCAGGUGAACUCACGCAGCGUUGGGGGCAGCGGCAGGUAGAAGGCCGUGGCGUCCUCCAGGCGGCUCAGCACCUCGUCCAGACCUGACGCUGCAGCUCGGCCCACCUGAGUCUCCUGCAGCUGCCUCACCGCCGCCCUGCCAGCAUCGGCCACACGCUCCAACCGGUCCAGAGUUCCGUCCAGCCCGUCCACCACCCACAGCUGCACGUCAUCCAGGGUCAGGAAGAAGGCGUCCCUCAGGUGACUGAUCACCUGACAGGAAGAGACCAACAGGAACACUUCACCAGCUGACCACACAACCUCCACAACAUCCGCAACAAAUAUCACACAUCUGCAUCUGAUCCAUGUUGCAAUGAACAGCUGCAUCUAAUGUUGGCAGCUAAAGAGCUAAUGGAGGAAGACAAAAAUAACCAGGAAAUAUGCAAAACUACUGCUGAUAUUGUUCAGAUUCUUCUGCUGGUAGAAAUUCAGACUGUGCACCUCUGAAUCUGGAAAAUAACAAUAUUGUAUCUAGGUAUUUACAAUAAUAAUAUUAAAGAGACUCUAGAAAACAGUAGAAAAUACCACACAGAUUCUUGUAUAUGUAGAGAAAUUGAUAUUUUACUAAGUUCUUUCAAUACUACUAAAUAUUGAUAAUGCAGUUUGAAUGUGUUGAUGUGAAGUAUGUUAGUUUCUCCAUUAGUGGUUUAGUUUCUCCCUCAAAGUUAAAACCUGCUGAACCAGAAAUCAGAAUAAAAGUUCAUUUUCUUCUAUCAUCUAUUUGGCAAAAAUGUAAAAAACCUGGAGUCAGCAUGUCAGAGGUUACCAACACUGUAACAAAUAGAGGCUCCACACACUCUAGAUAUUUAACUAUAGAAACAAUACAGAAAAACAUAAAAAUCCUUGGAUUUUUUGUAAAAUAAAAAGAGCCGUCAGCUGAAAUGCAGGCUGGAGAUACUGACACCAUAAAAUAAGAUUUUAAAACUAAUUUGUGUCAUGUCUGAAGCAUUGUGAAGUGGAUCUGAGAGCUUCAUGUCAUUUUAAGAUAUGAAUCAAACAUGUUUGUAAUUAAAUGUUUUCUGAUAUGUAGAACACAACGAACCUCGUCUGUGGACUGGUUCAGGAUGGGGAAGUUUCUCUCCAGACGGUCGAGACCAACGAGAGCAUAACUGUUGGCGACGUCAACUGCAGAGAAGAAAGACAAUCUGGAUUCACUGUGGACUCGGAACCAGCAAAACCAGGACAGCAUCAGGAGUAGUAUUAAUAAUAUUGGUAGUAUUUGUACGUACUCUGUGGCUCCAGACUCUGGAGGAGGGGCGUGGCCCUUCUCAUGGCUUGGUAGGAGAUGCUGCGAACGCCGACCUCGGCCACGUCCCCCACCAGACCCAGCAGGGGGUAGCGACCUUUGACUCCCGAGUACGCUGUCGUCACUGACUGCAGCGCUGAGCGAACCAAUGGCAGCUGGGAAACUCUGAGCACGGCGCUGGUCUGAAACACCGAGCGGAAACGUCACUAAGCAAGGUCCAACAAACUAGUUCCAUAACUCAUCCAACCAGCCAUUCUUCAGAUCAUCCAGCCUUCGGUCCAACCAGCUGCAACCAACCAUCCAGCUAUUUUAGCAAAUAUCUAAAAAACCAGUUCCAAUGCAAAAAACAUUCAACCACUUCCACCGACCAAUUUCAAAACAACAUCCAGUUCCAAACAACACAGCCAUCUGUCCUACCAGCUCUACCAACCUACCAUCCAACCUACCAUCCAACGAACCAGGUUCAACCACCCAAACUUUAAACCAACCAUCCUACCAGGUCUAUCCCCCAUUAAACCAGUUCCAUCAACCAACUGACCAACCAUCCAAACAGCUCUAUCCACCAAUUAACCAGUUCUAUCAACCAACCAUCCAACCUGUUGCAGCAACUAUUCAACUAACCAGUGUCAACCAACCAUCCAACCAGCUCUCUAUACCAAUAAACCAGUUCUACCAACCAACUGAGCAACCAUCCAAACAGGUUCUACCAAUCAUCAGUCAAACCAACCUACCCUUCAACCACCUGCCCAAACAGUUCCAACUAACCAUCCAAACUGCUAUAGCAACUAUCAGACUAAUCGAUUCCAACCAAUUAAACAUCCAUCCAGUCCUAACAAUCGCUUUCAACCAACUAGUUAGUCUACCCACUAACAAUUCAGUUCCACUAUUUCUCCAACCAGUUCCAACCAACAUCCAAAUCUAUCCACCAACCAAGCAACGACAUCAUCCAGUUCCAACCAAACAACAAACUUUCAACCAUCCAUCCAACCAGUUCUGCCUCCCCAAAACCAGAACCAUCUGACCCACCACCCAACUAAUUUAACCAAUCAUCCGCCCAGUGUCAACCAACCAUUCAAUUCCAAACAACACAACAAUUUAACCAUCUGUCUAACCAACCAACCAACCAACCAUCCAGUUCUAUCUACCUACCUACCUACCAACCAAACUUUCAACCAUCCAUCCAUCCAUUCAUCCAAGCAGUUCUACCAAUCACUUGACCAACCAGUUACACCAACUAACCAACCAUCCAAAAUGUUUUACCAACCAUUAGACUAAUCAGUUCCACCAUUUUUCCAACCUGUUUCAACCAAUCAUUCAACCAGUUCUACCAACUAUGCAUCUCAUCUGUUGCAGCAACCAUCAGACUAAUCAGUUCCAACUAACCAACCAUCUAUCCAGUUUAACCGUUCUACUAGUUGUAGGCAAUAAAGCUGGAACCAGGGAACAUUCUGGACAUUUCAGAGAUAUUUGCAUUUUUACUACUUUAAAUACUUCAAGUAUCUUCUCCUGAUUAUAAACAAUAUUUGUAUUUUGACUUGUACUUGCAGCAUUUUUUACAGCAUAAUAUUUGUACCGACUCGUUCCUCCACCAUGUGCAGAUGUUUGUGUAACAGUAUAUAUGUGAUGUAUAAUUCCACUUGCUGUAAUUUGGUUGUAUUUAUUGUUGUUGGCUCAAUAGCGCCCUCUCUGGAACUGUAGUAUGCACCUGGCGUUGGUGGCAUGCUGUCAGUCCCUGAGGCGUGUACGAGGUAAGUCAGAGAGCACAGCACGGGAUCAUAAAUGGUUACCUUUUUGGUGUCCUUUUGUGUAUUUCAUGGGUAUAUGUACACUAUGAUCUAUCCAGAUGAUGAUUAGAGUGUGGUGACAUAGACAUACAUUUAAUGUUUUUAUGUGUUUGGACAUGUAGUUAGGGAGUUUGAGACUCUCUGUGAGCUAGCUAUGUAGCGAACGUUAGCUUAAUGAACGUGCUCUUUUCUUUAGUGUGCUGUGCAUGAGACGACUGAGGCCGCUGAACGGAGGUUUCCUUGUUUUAUCAGGUACGUACUCUGUGUUAUUACUGUGUGUUAAUAUUGUAUAAUUGUGUAAAAAUACUGUCAGUUCCUGAGAGGCGUGUACGAGUGCGCUGACCAGAAGUUUCCUUAUUUUACCGGAAUAAAUGGCACAAAGAAGACACCUGAGCCUUCCGAAUUCUUUAUUAAAAAAUAGCAACACAGAGUCGAGGGGUUUUUGAACCAGCCAGUGACAGUGUGACUGCGCAUGGUUACAUUUGGACUCACUUUGUGGUGCUGAUUGGCCAACAUUUCUGGUUCUCCAAACCUGCAGAGGAGAGAACAGAAGAUCUGGUGACUGACUGGAAGCAGCAUGAGGCAGUCAGCUGCUGAUAAUCCACAAAGCUGCUUCCUGUUCAGAUGCAACCAGCAUAAAAAAUCAGCUUCUAAUGUGAGCCUCAGCAGCUCCAACCACCAUCAUCUGCUUUAAUCACAUUUAGCCUCAGCUAAAUCAGCCCUCUCUUUAGGAGGCAUUUACAUAAAGCAAAGACAUCAUGAGGGAACAUUUUACUGCUGCACAUAAAUGAUCUGCUUUCACAUUUAACCAAACAUCAACUUUUAAUUCUGAGAAACUUUUUACAGCAGCAGUCAUAAGUUUGGAGACAGGUUUUGGUCCACAGUAAAUUCUUUAUAAAAUAAACACUGUAGCAUCCACAUUAUUUUCUAUCUAAAAGUUAAAAAGUUUUAAUUCACCUUGAGGUAUUUUAACAACAUUUUGUGUUGGAGCUUGUUGAGAAUAUUUUACAUUUCGUGAAUUUCCCCGGUGGAGAUCAAUAAAGUUAAUCUAAAUUUACUGCAAAUCUUUGGUUCAGUUUGUGUAAAUUCAGACAGAAUUAAGAAAAUAUUUCUGCAACAUGUUAGAUUUAGUUCAGAGUUUAUUUAUUUAUUAUUUACGAUCCCGAACCAGGUUCUGUAUAUAAUUUUGGCUGAAAUUUGAAAAUUCAUGUUUUAACACCAGUAAAUUAUUGUAUUUUUGCUUUAAAAUAAAACCUGUGGAGACAUUUUGGUAUCUCCAGAAAUAAGAGUCACACAGACAUGAAAUGUGACAGGACAGAAUCAUGUCCUGCUGAUCCUAAAUUUAAUUAACUGACCCUUGAAAAUAUAAAACAAGCAAAUUAUUCGAAUGAGGCUGAAAUUUGGUCUUUACAAGCAAAUGUCCUUCAUGACUAUAUCUGGACGUAUCAGUACUUUAAAAACUAUUUUCAGCACCAGAAAACACCCACCGCUGUUGCUCUUUUACUUUAGAGUCAUUUGCACAGUUUAAAGUCAAAGUGUUCUGUCAGGAUGAAUAAACUGAUCAGAUACAAUCAAUCAAUCAAUAAGACAGAUCUGUAAACACAAAGAGCUCCACAACAACAACAUGGAGAAAUGUACAAUCUUGUUCACAAAUUAAUCAUAAUUUGCGAUUUGAAAUUCUCCUAAAAUGAGAAAAUUAAACCAAUAUAUGCGUUUAAAGUCAAAGGUUGUCUCCUCAGAUAUUAAACUAGAUGUUAUAUCAUUAAAACAUAUAAUAAACUGCACUGUAAAAAAUGGUGAAAUAAGGAGUGUGAGGGUUGAAGCCACACCCAACACACCAGAAUAACAAAAAACACUAAAGUGACUCAGAAUUAACUAUAAAGUAUCUUAAACUUUUUGGGUUUUCCGCCAUUCAGCUGACAUUUAAAAUCUUUCACUUUUAAAAUCAGCUCAUUGAGUUUCUGUUAUUUCUGCAGCACCUUUAAACCAACAGACCAAAAUGUUUUCCAUCACAGAAAUAAGAUUACUACAGACUAUUUAUCUGCUGAGAUUAGAUUUUAAAUCUACCACUGUUUUCUUGUUUCUCUCUUUUUAAUGUUAAGUGCUUUAAAACGAUUAUAAUUAGAGAGAUUCCCUCAGAGCAGCUCUUGGUAUAAAUUGUUAUUUUUUUCAAAUAGGGAUUUUCAAUCUUUCCUGAGUAGAUACUAUUUUAAGAAUUGAUCAAAAAUUCAUUCUGUCCACAAACUUUCCCCACAAUUCCUAUCAAAUGCAAAAAUCUUCAGUUUAGAGAGAAACCAAAGAGAAGUAAAAUAAUGUACCUGAGGAACGAAUUCAUCUUCCAGACAGACUGCAGGUCUUCAGAGGUUGAGAGGAAGAUGAAGAUGCUCCGACUUUAUAACCUGCUGGGGAAGGUGUGGAUGUGGACAUCAGCGCUGUGAUUGGCUGGAGCGUGCUGUGAUAUCACUGUGUCUCUGACGAAUCAAUUAACUCUGAAUCAAAGGAUCAUUUAGCAGGAAAACCCCGUAAAGCCUAGAAAAUUCAUGGCUUCUGGUUUCACUAAACAACAACCGAACCCUGUGAUCAGCUGGUUCAGAGUUUCUGAAUCUGAUCCGUCCAGAUACAAAUAUUUAUCACAACAAUUAAAUCCUGAACCAAAGUGAAGAUUUAAAAACAGGAAACAGGUGAGCGGUGAUAGAAAUCAACCCUCGGAGUCGUUUCUCUGCAUUUUCUGCUUCUGGUUCAUUUUUCAAUCUAAAGUCCUGCAGCUCUGUUGAAACAGAACCACAUGAAGAAGAAGAGAACUCAGAAAUAUCUUCUGUCAGGAGGACACAGAAUGAUGGAAGUUUAAUUUCUUUGAUUUUUUUAUUUUUACAAAACUGUAAAAAACUUGGACCCGUAGCGUUCAACAUGAUUCCACAGAUGUUAAAACUCUGAACUAAUGUUGUCUCCUCAUACUGUAGAUAUUUGACUAUAAUUGUCGUCUCCUCUCUGCUCUGAGGAAACACUGCCUGCAGUUCAGCUGAAACAUUGAGUGUUGGUUGAAACUGAGUCAGUCAUGACUUCAUGGUUGCAUCAAAGUGUUCAAAAUUUUAGUUUUUUAUGGAAUCUAGUUUGUGCCGAUGGUUAACUUUUAAAUGACAUGUGAGGCUUUAAAGUGAUUUUGAUCAAAUCUUACAAUUUUAAGAGGUUUGGUUCAGUUUUCUGACAGAAGAUGAAUAGUUCAAAGAUUGACAGAAUGUUGGAAAUCUGAUUCUGGCUGGUAAAUUACACCGUUGCUUUUUAACCCACUUGAAUGAUUUCAAGAUUCAGAGAGUUUAAAAUUAACAUCAUUGGUCCAUCAGUAAGACAUCUGACUGAAUUUACAUUAGAGCAUCCAAAAAAUACACCAUUUACACAAGAUUCUGAAAAAAAAAGUUUCUCAACUGUGAAGUUCUGACGGACUCAGUUUCAACCAACAGUCAAGUUUUCAGGUGAAGUGAAGGCAGCGUUUCCUGAGAACAGAGAGGACAAUUACAGUCAAAUAUCUACAGUAUGAGGAGACAAUAUUAGUUUUAACAUCUGAGGAAACGUGUUGGAUGUGAUGGUUCAGGAUUUUAUAUUUCUGAAAAAUAAACUUUUUCCAUGGCAGAAGACAUUUCUGAGUUCUCUGUCCUUUAUAUUGUUCUGUUUCUAUAAAGCUGCAGGACUUUAGAUUGAAAAAUUAACCACUGUGGAGGAAAAUGAAACAGCAGCAAAUAAAACAGCCUGAAACAGAGUCCAGAGGAUUAAUGAAACAACUGGCUGGACUUUUACAAAGAUUUUUUUAAUCUAUUGCGACCACAAACUCAAUAUUGCAGUAGUCUGAGCUGUUAUUCAUCUUUAUUUAUGAUGAUAUUAACCUUUUGGUUAUCGUUGCCCUUUUUCAUCAUUUACUGAGAAUGAAGGAGCUACAAAUUAAUUUGUCAUCCAAUCAUGAAUCAAGCAGAAGGAACAAACAGCGGCUUGUUUUUCAGGUGCCAUAUUUCAUGGUGCAGGAAAGGAGUGACCAGGCUGCUGGUAAAUGUGGUAUUUAACCGACGAGGACGAGGCGAAGGUCAGGACGCUCUGCUCAUGAAGGAAUCAGUGUUUGUUGGAAGCGUCCAUGUGACUCUGCUUCAUCAAACUGCAUCUGGUGGUUUGUGGAUUAAAGGGCAGUUCAGACAGAAGCGGAGUUCUUCACUUCCUUCUCAGAUGUUUCCCUGUUAAAGGGAGCUGCUGUUAUAUACAAAUACACACUUUGAUGUUGUGAGACGAUCAUUUAUUAUUUCUGUACAGAUGCUGAGAACGGAUCUUAAAUAACUAAUAUUUUUAAAAAUAGCUGCUUACACAAUUGCCGCUCCCAUUAAAUAAUUGUUUAACUUGUCCAUUUGUUUGUCAGUUCUUCCUUCUGACUGGAAAUCAGCCAUAAUCAUCCCUCUCUUCAAAGGUGGCUCUGGCUCUGACCCCAACUGUUACAGGCCAAUCUCCAUCUCAUCUUGCCUUGCCUGGCCAAAGUCAUGGAGAGGCUAGUUCACAAACAGCUAAGCCAUUUCAUUAACUCGACUCAUAUCCUGUCAGAUUUGCAGUCAGGUUUCAGAAUUGGCCAUGGGUGCAUCACCGCUAUGCUGAAGGUCCCUGAUGAUAUCUUUAUUGCUAUGGACAACAAGCAGGCCUGCAUAGACACCUUCAUAGACCUGGCCAAGGCCUUUGAUUCAGCAGACCACACGAUCCUUCUGCCAAGGCUCUCUAGCAUUGGCCUGUCCUCAAGCUGUAUUACCUGGUUUGCCAGCUACCUUAAUAAUCAUGAACAGCGAGUAAAGUCAGAGAACUUUAUGUCAAGACCAUUGAACAUCGCUAAGGUUCAGUCUUUGCUGCAGCAAUGGAUUGGAAUUCUGUCCAAAAAUCUCUGGAAGUGUCAUCGCUUCCAUCACCUUACAUCUUUAAACUGAAGCCGCAGCAGACCCUAGCUGACUGCUGCACAUGCUGUUUUCACUGAACUGCUAGCAUUAAUUUAGGGUGUUUUUAAUCUCUGUUUAAACACUUGUGUGUAUUAAUAUUAAACAACUUCUAAGGGGAUAAAUAAGAGUUUAAAAGAAAUAUAAUAAAGUAAUGCAGUUAAAUAUAAAAUAAAAUUACAUAUUAAAAUGUAAGUAAGUUAGUUAAAAUAAUAUAAAAAUGAGGUAAAUAAAAGAUUUUGAGUAAAAAAGCAAAAAUAUAAAACAAAGUAAAACGUUAAACAUUUUAAAAAGCUAAAAUAUAAAAAAUAUACAAGAUAAAAUAACAGUAAAAUACCAAUACAAAAAAUAACACUUAAAAUAUAAAAAAACAUUAAUCUAAAAAGAAAAUAUUAAAAACUGAAAAAUAGUGAAACAAAUCAUAUAUAAAUAUAAAAUUUAGAUAAAAUACAAACAUAGAACAUAUAUUUAAAAAUAAAUGCUGAAGUUAAUAUUCUAAUACAAAGAAGCGGCUCUACCUGUAGACCACUGGAAACUAAUGCGGAGCCACCAUUUCUGCUGCUUCUUCUUCUGUGGUGGUUGUUGGCGCGUACAACCGGAAACAGGUGGUAAAAUACCAACUAAAGCACAACAAACAUUUCAAUAAUUUUACGACAUCAAUGAAAGCCCGGAGGGGGGGCAGAAGUCUUAAAAAGUUAAAGCUCAAUGAUGGUAGAUUCAUAUAUUUAUCUACCUGCCAUACAUAUGUUAUAAACACUAUUUUUUGGUUUUAAUUUUUCUCUCCUUUAUUUAAAUAAUAUGGUCAGAAUAUUAGGAAGACUCUGACUAGAAGCGAAAGCUUAAAGAUAAUGAAGACCUGAAAAUUUAAACCUACAGGUGUAUCUAAUGAACUGGCUGAAUGUAUGUAAAGAAGCAGCUGCAGAGUUUUUGUUGUUUUUGUCAGUCUUAGACCCCCAACAACACAGACAGGAGAGAAAACUCAAAGACAGACACAGGGAAAUAAUGAAUUGUACUAAUUUAGAUCAAAAUCAAAAUAAAUUAAAAAGUAAAUGUAAAAAAUAAGAGGUUAAAAACAGAAAAAAGCUAAAUGUUAAUGUUUAAAUAUUCAUAGGAAAAAUAAAAUCUGACAAGAGAUUAAAAAGAGAAAAACUAGUAAGUUAUAAUAAUAAAAUGAUCAAAGCACAAAUGAGGAACAAUCACCAAGUAAAGAUAAACAGUAAAAUAAAAUCAUGAGGACUUGUUAAUGUUAACAAAGAGAGCAGACACGGCCGUCAUGGCUAACUUGUCUUUUAUUUGCACGUCCAAUGAGUGUUAACAAACCCAACACAGAGGUUAGCAUCCAGGUCUACAGCAGGGGGCGCUCAAACACACUAAAGCUCCGAGGACAUCAGACAGGAGAGAAACCAGCAAACAUCUUCACAUCUGUACAAAUCUACAGGCAGUCCGUCCGUCGGUCACAGCUUCAGUCCACAAACCAGAUCUGAGGCUUUGGGUGAUAAAAGCUGCUGCAGCGUCUUCACCGCUUCGUUACGUCUCUAAGAUUCAAAGUGAAAUUCAGUUUUACACACAUUAUUAAUCUCUGUAAGAGAAGCAAGCUGCAGAGCAGAUUUAAGGUGGAUUAACUUUCAAUUGGGACCAAAAUGUGCUUUCAAAAGUUCACUCACAGUGUAUCAACAAAAUAUUAAACCCAAUUCACGUCAGACAAACAUCCACUGGGCUGUAUGAAACAAAUCAAUAGAAAACAGCGCCAUCAGCUGGCCGACUAAAUCAUUGUGCAGGGAAAUGUUCACAGGGAGAGAUGCUUUACAAACAAGUGCAAAUCAAGAGUCCAAAUCUGUUCAAGAGAAUGACAACGUACAAAAUGCAUCACAGAGAGAAAGAGGAAGGAAGGCAGCGAAGCAGAGUAGAGUUAUGGCUGCUGAUCGCCUUUUAGACCUGUUGAAACAGCACCCAGACUGAGCUGUCCCUUCAUUUCAUGUUUCAUUUAAUCAGGAAACUACCAGCAGAUCCUUUGUUUUGUUCUUCAAGCUUUAAAGUUAUUCACUACAUUUGAGGAUAAAUAUAUUUAAAUAAUAAGCUACUCAUUUAUUUGAACUCAUUUAAAAUAAGAUGAUCAGACUUUUCAACAUAGGAAUUCACAUUCCUAAAAACAACAAAUAGUGUUAAAAUCAGCUGAGCAGGUGUUUCCCAAAAACAAGGAGCCUCUGAUUAUCAAGUGACUCCAGAAGAACAAGUUUUUAUGGUCUCAAAUGAAAACUUCCAGGAUAUUUAGGCUUCUUUUUAGGCCCUCACUGACUGUUGUUACGUAUAUAUCACACUGUUUAUUCCUUAGAAAUAUUAUCCUUAAUAAUUAUUAUUCCUAGUUUGUUCCUAAUUCACCAUAACUAACGUCUGUAUCAAACAAAAUUAUUAGCAAUUUAUCAGCUGUGAAAUUUAGAAUUUUAUAGGUGCAAAAGUUGAUUUCUAAUUAAAAUAUCUUCCAAAACGCUCUUUUAUUUUUGUUAGAGCUGAAUGCAGAAUGUGGACACUGAAGAUAAUUUAAAACCGAACCUGCUACAAAUAUGAACUUUUAGCAUUGAUUCAGACCGUAUUUAAUAAAGCUGCAGGUAGAACAUUUAGAUUAUUUACAGGAAAUCUGUUGACUUUUUUUUUUUUCAAAGUGACUAAUUGAUUGGUUGAAGAGUAGACUUUCUUUAGUUCACUACUGACCUAAAUAAAACCUUUUUUUCCAAACUGAUUAUGCACCAAAUGCCUGAUAUUUUCAGCAGAAAGACUUAUUUUUAUGUUUGUGUGUUUAAUGCUACAGGUGUUUCUUUGCGCAGAAAUCAACUCAGUCAAAGCCACAGCUACUGUCAGUGUGACACCUCUGACACAGACAGUCAGUCCAGGUUUCUUUGUCACACCUGUACGUAAGAGCGUCGUGGUGUCAGAGAUGAGAAGGUAACGAGCCUAAAACCACCAUCAGGAUCCACAACUGCCUCUGCUGCAGGAAAUCAGAGAAAUGCAUGUCACAAACAAGUAUUUUACAUCAUCUCCCCGCCUCCGUGAGCAGAAUUUAUUGUCAUGAUCUCAGGUCAGUCAGGAGAUGUUUGGUGUUAAUCCACAUUCAGUUAAAGUCCACAUUAAAAUGAGGGCAUCCAGCUCCUGCGGAUCAGUUCUGCUGCAGGAUGGGAGGAAACUGUAGGAAUCUGCAGGCUGCAUGCUGCCGACGAAAACAUCUUCGUCCCCCCGAACAAUGAAGUCUGUCGCUGAGGUGGAGCUUCAGGAGCAGGAGGUGGGAGGAGGUUUCUUAUUUGGUCCUUAGGAGUAAUUAUACUGGAUAUAUUAGUUAAAUGCAGUGUUACUGAGUAUUUAAACUGGACUUUCUGUUCUGUCAGAGCUCAAGUUUCUUCCUGUCAAUCAGUCAGCAAGAUGUCAGCAGCUCAACUCUUCAUCCCGAGUUUUUACGUAUUUCUUUUCAGACAGACAUGCGAUGAACUGCAUGACAACAACAGCAAGAGGGGGAUCUUUUCUUUUUUCAUGGAUUCUUUUUUCAUGUUAUUGGAGCAUUCCUUCCCCCGGAGGAGACACAACAACAGUCUUAGAAAUGGACUUCAUGGUUUCUAUUUGAAAAACAGCUUUUUCUUUUCAUCUGCUGGCUGAAGUAAAGAACUGCAGGAUUCUUCUUAUCAUUGCGAAUGUAGUGGUGGUAGAGAGAUAAUAGAGACAGAGAGAGAGUUUAACUAUCAUCACAACAGUGUGUGUGUCUGUGUGUGUGUUGUAUGUAGAUGUGUAUGAAUGUGUGUAGAUGUGUGUGUGCUGUACACUGAGUCUGAGUCCCAGCCAGGUCGCUGGUUCUGGUUCUGGCUCCUCCUCCUCAGUACUCGCUCAGGUUGUGCCAUUUGGAGAUCUGCCUGCGGGGGUUUUCACAGACCUCCCUCCAGUGGGAGGCACCAGAGGGGGCGGGGCUGUGCAGGCCCAGCAGCAGGCGGCCCAGAACCUCGUUCUUGGUGGUCCGGUCGAAGUCGACCACCAGGAACUCCACAGAGAUCUCAGGCAGCAGCUCAGGUGGGAUGUCGUAGAUGAAGGACUCGUUGAAGACGGGGUUCAGCGUGCACUUCUUCACGUGAGUCUUCUUCUUGGCGAUGCGCUUACGGCCGUAGAAGACGUUCACCUUCACGUAUGGAUCUGCGGACACAAGAAAGAUCACCUGGUUACCUGAGAUGCCUGGAUGUAACAUCUGAAAUCUGAGGAAGGGGAAAGUCAGUACAGGCCUCCUGCAGAGAGUGCUGCAUUAUGGGUAAUCUGCAGCCUUAUGGCUGCUCAGCUGGUCAGAGUUUAGAGCCAGUCAGCAUUAAAGACUUUAAACUGAUCUACUGCAACAGAGGAAAUAAAUUCAGAGGAGGAGUGAGAGAAGGAAGGAAGGAGGUAGAGAAUUAAAGGAGGUGUCUGAAUUCUUCAUUCUUAGCAGUGCCUGUAUCUGAACAUUCUCUCCUGUUCUACUCACUGGCUGACAGGCCGGUGAUGUCCAUCUUAGGCAGGUGUCGGGCCUUGAGGACGACCACGCUGAGGCGGUGAGACACCGGCUGGUAGGACAGAGAGGCCAGCAGCUCCCCACGACUCUCACACUGAAACAGAACCAGAGAAGAACAGACCGACUCCAUCAUCAGCUGCUUAUUUAAUCCUGCUGUCAGACACAACACGGGCUGAGCCGUCUGUCAGACAACAUGAUGUUCCUGCACAAGGUUUGUUCACUGAAUCCGAGCAGUUUCACUGUGAAGCAACAAUCACAGAAGAAGAAACUGAGUAAACACAGCAGCUGUUUCAGUCCAUGUCAGAUCAUCACAUUUAUACUUUCAUUUUUUAAUUUCUGCUCGACCAUCCCUGAUUUGCCUAAAACUUUUACAGCACAAAAUAUGGAGAUUUAUAAAGAUUUUUGUAUAACUAGCUUGAUACAUCCAAAACAUUUCAAGUUAGAUUAUUAUUUUUGAAAAUUUCUUGUUCACCCCAACAAUAUCUCAGGAACUACUAAAGAUAAAAACCUGAAAGCUUCACUAUUAUUUCUCAUCAUGUCAUUCAUUCAGACUGUAAUAUUGGACAAGUAGAUCGAAUAAUCUCUGAUUAUGGGUGAGUUGAAGUAUGAAAACAAAUUGAACCCAUCAUGAAAAGUUCCGUCUUUGAGCACAUUAACAAAAAAAAUUGUAAUGCUUUAGUAAAUGAGUGAUAUUUUCUGACCCACAUGUAGCUGCAGGUCACAAUAAUACAAAACUAAACUAAAUAUAUAAUAUUUUAAUAUAAAAUAAUUGGUCAUCAGUAUUUCUCACAGACUGGAGCAGAGAAGCCAAAAUAUAUCCAAUUUCGACAAGACUUUUUAAUUUCUUAAAAAUGACUUAAAACCAUUAAUCAACUAUCCAAAUCCUGGAAGAUGAAUUUAUUAGAUAACUAAUAAUUAGUUCUACUCUGUCUAUUAAACAAACAUGAGUCAGACACUGCUGUAUUGGUAAAUGUGUCCAACACAUCAGCUCUGAUCUAAUUCAGUUGCUCUAAUGAAGCUGGAAGUUGAGCGGCAGACUUUUCUGACUUUUGGAGGUAAACAUUUCAUUCAUUUUACAAGUAAAUUGCUGAUUGCUACCAUGGCCAAUCUUAACAUUAACAGCCUCUCAAACCAGAGAAUUGUCCCACAUUAUAGUUAAAUGUCUUGAAUUCUGGACAAAGCAAGACACGUGGUCACAUCAACCUGAGCUCAGGAAAACUGUGAGGGACUCACUUUCUUUUAUCUUUGUUGACCAAAUAUUUAUAAAAUUUAGUUUAGCAGAGAAAAUAACUGGGAGGUUAACUAAUAUGAAUAAAAACAUCGAUACCUACAACUCUAGUUAAAUAUGACAGAAAUCAGCCGGUACAAGGGCCUUAAGAAGAUGAGACAGAGACUGAUUUUCCAGAAGAACAAGACUCUGCUGUUCAUGUUUAAAUGUAAUUUUUCAGAGCAGCUCAAACUAAAUCUCAGACAGAUGAAGUAAAAUAAUUAACUCCUGAAUGUUCUUCUGCUCUGUUUUGUUUUCUGAUUUUAAACCCAGUAGAGAAGCAGACAAAACAGAUGAGUCAUGUUCAGUUCAUCAGUGACAUGUCUGCUGCAUUCAGCAGCUUUAACCUGAUGAAGAUAGAACAAAAGGGAGUCUGUCACUGAGACACUCUGACAUCUGAUCAUCUGAACCCAGCAGAGGUCAGGCAGCCCGUUUCCAUGGUAACACACAAUACCAUCAGCCAUUAGUCAGCUUCAACAACAACACCAACAGGCAGAGGAAUGUUCUCACGUGAAGUCGCGCUGUCAGGAGGACGAAGCUGAAACUGAAUCUCUUGGAACCGAAUGUCAGACAACAUGAAGAAUAUCUGUAAUAAUAAACACUGAUGGCAUUUUUCUUCUUCUUUUCCAAAGCAACUUGCACAUAAAUUAUACCAAAUAUUAAGUAAUCAACUAAAAAUGCCUUAAACAAUAGUUCCCAUUUAAUUUAUUAUUAAGUCUAUGAUUCACCUCCAAACCCCAGAACCUGAGAAGAAUUAUUAACAAAAUGUCACCAUCAGCCAGAAAUUUUAAAGAAUUGUCAGAUUUUCAACUUUCAACUGGCUCUUGAAAUAAUUAUGUUAGACUUCACUCACCUGCAUGUUCCUCUUGGUGAUCUCCUGGCUCAGAUGGACUCGGCCUGUGCUCGGGUCGACGCCCUUCAGUGGCACCACAGCCUCCCCAAUGACGUCAUCGCGAGCGAAUCGGUCGAAGCUGAGGACCAGGAAGUGCAGGGUGAGCUCGGGCAACGAGCUGUAGGCCACGCCGUAGAAGGUGAAGGUCUCAUCGAACAGUGGGUCCAGCGUCUUCCUCAGCACACGGGUCUUGACGCGGUGCUUCUUCUCCGGCAGGAUGGUCAUCUUCACGUACGGGUCUGAGCUGCCCGCCUGCUCGUCCAUGGCGGGAAGGCCACGAGCACCGACGAUGGUCACCACCAGCGCCUUCUUGGGGAAGUUGUAGUCGACAGUGAGGCUGAUGGACCCCAGGCUGGGCUCGGGUUCUGGCUCCGAGGAGGCAGGCGUGAAGGGCGAUGCUGUCUUGCUGCUGGUCUGGCUACUGCUGGCCGAGCUGCUGUCCAGGCAGCAGUAGUCGGCUCGGACCGGCAGCGCCCGCUCCAAUCGGGCCUGGCUGUGGGCGAGGCCUGAGCCGGCGGGCGGGACCAGGUGACUCAUCUGCAGCUGACCUGGGACGUCCAGGAUGUUGUUCUCAGCGUCCACCAGCACCAUUCCCCUCCCUGCAGCACCGCCGCAGCCUCGCUCCCCGUCACGGUCGGACCGGUCGGCCCGCCGGAUGCCGCGGACGAUCCGCUUGCUGCUGCUAAGGGAUUCUGGGUAAAUGCUAAUGCCCUUCAGCAUGUGGAUGAACUUAUAGGGCGGGUCCUCAGCGUCGCAGUAGCGGUCGCCAUGUAGCUUAUAGCGUCCAGAGACACGAAGGUAGCGGCGCUGGCAGAAAGACCAGAGCAGAACCAGAACCACCACAACCAGAACCAGAACACCAGCUCCCAGGAAGCCUGCCAGCACCGGAGACAUGGCUGCAACCGAGACAGAAAAACACACAGAGCCACAACUGUCAACACACCAUCAGGCCUGGCUCUUCAUGUCCUAGAGCAGUGUUUCAUCAGACCAAUAUCCACUGACCUGUCUAGCUUGUUGGAUCUGCUGGGAGAACUGGCUCCUACACUAGCUUAGCUCAUCGGGUCAUUUGGACAUGCAAGCCUCACCACCAUGACAAGCUAACUGGCCAAGAAGAGACUGGUUGCGUGUCAGACAUCAGGAUGAGGAGGCUUCCAAACCAGUCUUAUGGGAGCCUACCAGAGGUAAAACUAGCAGAGGAAGAUGGCCUCUAGCUCCACGGACUGCCUGAAACUGAUGCACAGGCUGAGAUCAAGUCGUUAAUGACAGACUGCAUCUUCUGGGGAGGGACUGUCAGUUCAGCUCGAACUAUUGUCCAUCCAAAUUUUUGCAGCUACAACACAUUUCUACACACUGUGACCUGCAGCAGCACAUCAAUGACUUUGCAGUCAGGUGAUGUGUUCAUCCUACAUAUCCUUCUCCUGCAGCAAAACACAAAACUUGUCAGAUCAAGCUGUCAGACAGCCAGAAAGUGUCCUGGAUGGAAACCUAAUGCAGAUGUUAACUCGCACCGAGGCAGCUGCUCUGUGUUUCCCUUCAGUCAGACUGACACCCUUUCUGGAAGCUGCAGGGAGUGUUUACGCUGUUGGUGCAUUUCCCAUAAUCUCUGCAAUGAAGGUGCAAACUCAGCACACAGACACAGUAUAUACACACUAUACAGAGAAAAUGUGACACCAAAGAAAAUCUUGGCCAUCAUUAAAUUUAGAUUGGAUUUAAAUGCCUGGUUUGUUGACUGAAGCUGGAAUUUGGUAUAGAAUUCAAUUCAAUUCAAUUUUAUUUAUAUAGUGCCAAUUACAGGUCAAAUUGUCUUAAGAUGCUUUACAGAACCCAUUAUAGAACCUUUGUCAGGACAAUUUUUUUUUGUACUAUUCUCACAAUUUUUAUCACAAAGAUAGAUUAAAUGAUGACGAAAACCAGUAAUAGUGUUUAUGUUAAACAUGCACGUGAAACAGCAGUAAUUAUGUCCAUGCUGGUUUCUUUAGUUUCAGAAUUGUCUAUCGACUGAAAAUCGUGUAAUUUUUGUCUACAAAGUCCUGAACAAACAACUUUGUGUAACAUGAAUUUCUACAUAGAGAAGAUUCUGUACAAUAUCAACAGUACUUCUGUUUAUUUCCGCUUAUUUUAAUGUUACUGACUUAUGUUGCUAUAUUUUUGCACUGUUGUCUUUGCUGCAGAUUUUCUACUGUGGGAUUUAUAAAGAAUUACCUUAUAAUAAUACAGAAGAAAUAUCGUAUGUUUUGGGUAUUUUUUGUGUCUGCUGUAUAUGUGCACUUUUGUGUUUUGUGAAACAGUUCGCUUUAGUAUGUUAGUCAUAUUACUGUUGCUUUUCUUUGCAGGAGCACUUCACAGACUGAACUACAAACCUGGUUCUAUCUGAGUUUGUUAGAAAAUAGCUUUUCCUCUUGUUGUGUUGGUCUCUAAAAUACUGUAAAGUUUUGACCUCACUGCAUUUACAAAAUAAACUGAACGGAGCUGCAGAAAGUCCUCCUUCCUGUUGUUGUCGGCUUUCAUUCAGACUCCAUCAGAUGAUGUCAUGUUUUGGAAAGAGCCGAAAGCAGCUGAGCUCGCUGCCUAGCAACCAACACACACGCGCACACACACACAUACACACACACACACACACACACACACACACACACACACUGAGUUGACUUACACUCAGGAUAAACUCAGUAACUCUGUUUUUCAAUCUUCCAGUAAAGCACUCAUUUUUGCGUUUCUCUAAUGAUUUAACACAAAAGUGAAAAUAUUCACAUUGAAGAAGCCGCAGUCACUGAAUUUAGACAGUUUUUAUUAAAAGAUUACUCAAACUGAUUAAUUAAUUGUCAUACUAGCUGAUGAUUAAUUUAACAGCUGACAGCUACUGGAUUAAUGGUUGCAGCUUUACACAGCAUCACAUGUUCGACUGAUUUUAAAAUAUGUUCUCCACAACGUCAAAUAAAGCUCCUCCUAAACUAACAGCACCAGAAGAUCAACAUGUUCUGGAUUCAUUUAGGGAGUCGACAUGCUGCAGUGAAACAGAACAAGGACAUAAAAUAAAAAUAAAAUCACAAGUCAGCAGCAGAAGUUAAAGAUCUCGUCCUCCAUUUGGAGUAUUUUGGAUUCAGCAAGUUCAGGUGAAGUUAAAUAAGGACAGAAACAGAGACUUUGUGUCCCAAAGCAACAGAGCUAACAACCAGCUGCAAAACAACACAAACUACAGCAGGAUCAACACAUGAAGGACAAAAAGAACUAACAUUACUUCACUUUAGUUCCAUCGGCUAUACAACGUGUCAACGUGUUGCACAACCUGAGACUGAAGCAGCUCUGUUGCUUUAAUUUUUAGUAAAAACUCUUUAGCUGUCUGAUCUUUUAUGUCCAAAAGAUAGCAGGAAUACUGCAACAUGGACGUGAAAGCAGCCAUUAAUCGAUUAGCUGUCAACUAAUAACUUAAUCCAUUAAACUAUUUUUAGAAAUAAUAUAGGAAUUUUAAAAUUAUAAACAGUCUGAAUUCUCUGACUGCUGAUUCUUCAAUGUGAAUGUUUACUGGUUUCUUUCCUCUAUGACUGUAAAAUGAAGAUCUUUGGACAAAAGACAUUUGAGGAAAUUCUGAUCCACAUUUUUCACCAUUUUCUGACAUUUUAGAGACCAAACAACUGAUCAAUUAAUGCAGAAAAUAUCCAAUUAAUUAACUGUUAAAAUACCUGUCAGUAUUUGUACUGUUUAAACAUGGAGUUGCAACAACAAUAUUUUGGAUGUAAAAACAAUUUGUUAA